rnacentral:lncRNA from 1 species
GGAACUUUUCCCGGCUAUCAUAUCUCGAUCUUUCUCGAAACCAAUUCGUUGGACAAGUUCCACAUACUCUUGGAAGCCUGCACCUGCUCCAGGCGUUAGAUCUAUCUAGCAACAGGCUUUCAGGGAGCAUGCCUCGAGAACUCACAGAGAUACCUCAGCUGUCAUAUUUUAACGUGUCGUAUAACAAUCUGACUGGUGCCGUUCCGCAGGGAGCUCAGUUCAACACGUUCACCGAGGAUUCAUACAUAAGUAAUCCAGGACUUUGUGACUUCCCUCUGAGCCCUUGUGAUCCUAAAAACAACAGUUACAUCAACAGCACAGAAUUAAGAAAACCAGCAAAAGCGCCUCACCUGCAUACGGUCAUUAUUUUUCUUACUUCGAUCUCGUUAUGUUCAUUGGCGUUUAUGGCAUUGCUUAUAUAUUAUCCCUGCUCGCGGACAAAGGAAGAGUCAGAUGAGAUGAGCAUUAUCGAAGGAGAAAUUUGGAGUGCAACUCGAGGAUUCAACAAAGACAACAUCGUAGACAAGGGAGGAUGCAGCACGAUCUAUCGGGGUGUUUUGAGAGACGGGCAGACUGUCGCUGUGAAGGUUUACAAGCUUUCAGACCACACAGGCGAGGAGCAGUUUAUCGCUGAAUACAACAGCCUUAAAGACUUAAGACACAGGAACAUCGUGAGAAUCAUCGAGUGGUGUUCCGAGAGCAAGCUCAAGGCGCUAGUUUUCAAGUUCAUGGACAACGGCAGCCUAGAAAAGCAGCUUCACGAGCUUCAUGGGUCAAAUCUGCCAUGGACGGUACGCAUGAACGUCGUCCAGGGAGUUGCUAAUGCACUGAGCUACUUACACGAGGAGGCAGCAAGCACUGGACCCAUAAUUCACCGAGACAUCAAGCCAGCAAACAUCUUCCUGGACCAAAACAUGGAAGCACACCUUGGGGACUUUGGGAUAGCCAGGAAUUUACGACUGGAAAGCAGCAUGCAUUGGGAAAGCAAGCUCAAAGGCUCGAUCGGCUAUGUGGCACCAGGUACCUUAUCGUAUAGAGAGGAAAAAAAGGAAGCUGACGCUACUAAAAUAUGCAGAGUAUGGCUCGGAUGGAACAAUGACCACCGCCGCAGACGUCUACAGCUAUGGAAUCGUGAUUCUAGAGACGCUUACCAGGAUCCGACCGACGAGCGGCACGCUCAAAGAUAUUUCGCUGCGGAGCUGGGUGGAAUCACACCUGGUCGAAGGCCGGCUGGAAGACGUGCUGGAUCCCGUCCUCCGCCAGGAUUCGACCGCAGAGAGGAGCAUCGACGCCGUGGCCAGGAUCGGGCUCGUGUGUAGCCACCCGAUCGCCGCGGCGCGGCCGCGAAUGGGGCAAGUAAGCGCCAUUCUCCGCUCUACAAUCCCUAAUCUUGUUUGCGAUAGCCCUGCGUGUGUCUCAUAACAAGGUCUUUUGUUCCUACUCCAAUAGUCUAGGAAUAUUCUAGGAAGUGUUUAGAAAAUUGGCCGUUGGAAUUAGGGCUUACGUGGACGGGCUAAGGCUAUGGCUCCCGCAUUGGCGUGCUCUCUCGGCAAUGCGCCAGGAUCACUAGGUCAGGGUUUUUCUUCCAGGAGGAGCGGCCGAUUCGCCGCUACCGCCGCUACCGCCGCGGCCGACUCGAAUCCAUCGCUGCAUUCUUCUUCUCUGUUCGCGGGGUUUGAUUUCGGGACGUCCGGCGCGCGCGUUGUGGUGAUCGACAAGGAAGGGGAGAUUCUUGCGGAGAGGAAGCGGCAGUAUCCAGUAAGGAAUUCGAUGCUCUGUAGCGAAUUUUAGCGUCUCAAUGGUUUGGUUAGGCAGGCUGAGAAUCCCGCGGCUGCCAGCGGAUGGAAGGCGACGCUGUUUGCGCUGCUGGAAGAAAUUCCGGUGGACUUCCGCGCUCGCGUUGGCUCGAUUUGUCUGGAUGGGACUUCUGUGACCACGAUGAUCGUCGACAGGUUUUCUACAUUUUUCUUGGUUUUUUCCAUGAACUCAUCACGAAGUUUUCCAGAAACACGGGUGAAUUGUUGUCCCGUCCAGUUCUAUAUAACGAGAGCUGUUCCCAGAGUCUACCAUUCGUCCACCAGAUUGCUCCUGCCAACCACACUGUUCUCACUGGAACUUCCACUCUCUGCAAAAUGGUCGCAUGGUGGCAGCGAGCCGAGAAAGAGCAAAGGAAGAACGCGAUUUUGAUGCACCAGGCGGACUGGAGAAAUUUCCAGGUGGGUAGAGCAUGGAACCCCACCCUUGGACUGGGAUGAGGAAAGAAGAGGUAAAAAUCAAUUUUCAUUCCCUCUAGCUUGUCCAACAAGCAUCGGCACACUUGGGCAUGCCAUGGCAGUCAGCUCCAUGGCCUCGGCCAUGUCUGGUGCCAGCCAGCUCCGGGGCUUUGACCAUGUCCUGUAGCACCAGCCUGCUCUGCCAGCCAGCUCUAAGGCCGAGUGCUACCCAGCUCCAAAGCCGAAUGCUAAGGCGUCUCUGCCAUGGCCAGCCAAGCCAAGGCCAUGUCCCAAGGCAAGAGCAGGGAGUUCAGAAAAAUGUUCCUUAUCUUUCUAUAAAAUAGAAGAAAUUAAAAGGAACAAAAAUUAUUUAUACUAUAUAUAUAAAUAAAGGUGGGCUACAAAACCAACCCUGGUUUGGGAUUUUUUUAUAAAAAAAAGAAACCAUGGUUUCUUUAAUGAAAAUAGUGUGUGAGGUCACACAAUUUUAAAAGGGGGAGUGAUUGUUAUUGAUGCAGCGAGUUAUUGUGGCUCAGGUUCCCAAACCAAUGCAAAGUGGUGAUAGUUGAGCUCGUGGAGUUUUAGGGUUCUUGGAGUUUGAAAUUAAAUCCUUGUAAUAGAGUUGUUUGGUUCAAAAUUCAUUUUUUGGUUUUACCUCGAUAUAUUUAGAUUAUAUUUAGAUAUUUUUACCAUUUAACAAUUGUUAUUAAUCUUGUAUUUAUAAUUUAUAAAAUUUUCUAGUAUAUUCUAAAUGUAUUCUACUAUCUAAUCUUGUAUUUAUAAAUUAUAAACAUGUUUAAAAUUAUAAAACUUUUGACCUAAACAUGAUGAGUUUUAUCCUAACACUCUGAACUAUGAAUUAGACUAUGAACACUCACAACUAUAAAUAACUUGCUAUGUGUUGCAUUUAGCAAUGCUUGGUUUACUUAAUAUUUAUUAAUCCAAUUCAUCAAAUAAAGUUUAUAGUUAUAAGCAUGUUUGUAAUUUAUAAACACAAGAUUAAUCUUAUUUCAUAUUAAGAUGAUAGAAUAAAAAAGAAUAUAUUAGAAAGGGUUUUAAAAACUUUAUAACUUAUAAACAUGUUUAUAAAUUAUAAAUAAAAAAUUAAUCUAAAUGAAUAACAACCGUUAGAUGGUAGAAUAAUUUAAAAUAUUCAAGCAUAUUCUAAAUAUAUUCACUACCAUCCCUAUUACAGGUUUGCUUAAGCAAACCAAAAAGCUAUUCAAUUAUUUAAUUACUCAGAAAGUUUAUUGUGAAGUAUAAUGCAAAGUUACUAGUUAAAUGCAAACUUUGAAUAACUUAGUUCUAGCAUGAUCAUUAAAAAAAAGUGGUUUCACAAAUGUGUGAUGAAUACUUAUUUGGUUUCAUAUCAACUUCUAUUCUAGCAAAAAAAUUAGAAUUCUUAAUUGAAUCACACAAUAAGCAACAUGUAGAAUGAUUUAAUCACUAUAAUGUAAACUAAUGUAGGCUGGGUUUGAUCUCGAAACGUGGCUACAGAAGCAAGAGUUUGCCAACGAUGCUACCCACGUUAGACUGUAACACCAUGAAGCAGCUUGAAGGUUUUGUGCCUCAAGUAACACUGGGGUGCUACAUAGUAUUAGAAAGCUCAAUUACCUAGAAAAAAAACUGAAGUAACAAUGAAUCAAUUGAACUUACUGCCUUGCCUAGUUCCAGCCCGAGUGCCACCACCUUUGAUGUCGCGGUUACCACCAUCACAGAGAGAAUCUGCAAAGGUGAAGAGCGCAGUGGGGCAGAUUGAGCCCGCGCUACUCUGCUUUGCAGAUUUGGCUGCUGCAAGAACGAACAAAGCAGCGAAGAAGAACAUGGUGGUGGCUGAAGUGGUGGAAGAAGACACUAUUGCUAGGAUUGUGUUGGAGAUAAGAGUUUGUAUAGUGGUGAGUGUGGACUAUUUUGUGUCCAAGCUAUUCCAGAUGUAGCUGGGGAGCUCUAUAAGUAAAUGGCUAAGAAAGCCGUAAUACUAUCAGUUGUCCCUGUGCAAACAACACAGUCUGGAGGAAGCUCUGAGAUAAAAAUGUCCAUAAGGAAGGAAGCAGAUAUAAGAAUGUCGAUUAGCAGAGGUAGUCACUUUUGUAGAAUUGCUAGCAUCCAUUGCACGUUACGCUUCUAUGGUGUGAAUGUGAUGGAACCUGGGGCUGUUGUAGGAACAGUCAAGGUGGUUUCAUUCAGCAAUGCAUCAAUUUGAACAUACAUUCCAUUCAGAUACCUCAAUACAUUACAUUUAGAUAGUUCAGGCUUUUAACUUGAGUUUCUUGCAUCUGAGUGAGAUCGGAAACCAAAACACAACCAAACUAGUCCUACGCCAUUUGGAAAUAUUUCUCAAGCUCCACCAAAUGCCAGCGAAUCCUGUGGCGGGGCCAUGAUGACAGGCUUCUUCUCGGAUGUCCUCUCUCGCGCAGGUACAUUCUAUUAGUAUAUGUCUUGCGUAUCUUUUAUUUUGUGGGCUCACAAGAAGGAAAAACCAAAAGAGAAAAUAGUGCCCUUUGGAGUGAUGGACUUUGCUACUUCAGGAGAUGCUGUGGGUCAGCAAUUGGCACAAACAUGUCAUGAUUUGCCUCACAACACAGAAACUUAGCAUAUAACACAUAUAGACAUAUUGAAUCCAGUAUUCAGGAUCACCUUGUGUUUCUAUCUGAUCUGGAUAGAUGUUAUGAAGCUCUACACAUUAAUCACAAGAAUUAGCCUUCCAUAAUGCUUGCAAUAGUUUGUGUGAAGGCUUUCUGCAAGAUCACAAGUUCACCAUUUUUAUCUUUUCUAGCCUCUACUGAUAAAUGUACUCAAAAUCUUCUUAAGAGUGUUUGCAUGUGUGGAUAUUUUCUUGCUUCUUCUAAGUGCAUUUUCAAUCUUUCAAAAAACGUAAUUUUCCCUAAAACUGUAACUUUGGGGAGCGUUUUCAUUUCCUCAUCAACACACGUCAAUACCACUAAGUCUUCCUUUCCUUCCCUCAUCCACAGCCUGAUUGCUAGUUCUUCAACUCGAUGUUUUCCCUGACUAUAAAAUUCAGGAUUGGGGCCUCUUGAGCAAGAGUCUGCAGAAUUGGUUUUGUUUAGUGUUCAACAAAAUUCUCAGUCUUACCAAUUGAAGAAUCCAAAGAAUGGCAUUGCCCAGCCUGCUCUCAACAAAGCUCAAGCCGCUUGAGCUCCUGUCCGGUGUCACUCAUUAUGAUCUUCCGCCAAUUCCCUGUUCUCUUCCUGUCAAGUGUCAUCCUCAAUUUGCUAAGUUUUCUCGCAUUGCCGAUACAUGGGCCAUCGACGCAAUGCAGCUGCAAAAUGAUCCAUGUGGAAAGCUCAAGGCUGUGCAGAGCCGAGCCCCGCUGCUUUACUGCUUCCUCGUCCCUUUCGGCAUCGGAGAGGAAGAAAUGAUUGCAGGCUGCAAGUACAGCUGGUCGACUUCCUUCGUGGAUGAUCCAUUUGACGAAGAAACGGAUUUGAAGCGGGCCAAGGAAUGGAAGAAGGUCGUGCUGCGAGCUGCGAACGGUACUCCCAGUGCUGAAGAUUUGAUGAUAAGGACGAUAAAAGCUUAUUCGGAGAUUAUGAUGCACCUGCAACAGAUGAUGGCGGCCCCAGUGUUUUCGAGGUGAUGACCCCAAUUCUGUUUGCUUCUUUCCUAGAAAUAAGACUUUGUUUUCUGUACAGGUUCAUGAGGGCUCACUACGCUUGGGCAGAUCACUGCGUGGAGCUUGUUCGUAGAAGGCAGCAUAAAGACCCUCCAACUGUAGCCACAUACCUUGCAGACAGGUGCGAAAAUCUGCUCGUAGAACCGAUCUUCAUUCUGGCGGAGGUGUGCAUGAAGCUUCAGAUUGACCCGGAGUUCCUGUCGCUGCCAGAGUUCAAGAAAAUCUGGACCACAAUGCUGGAACAUGCGGCUAUCGUGAACGACGUCUUGUCAAUCCGUGUAGACAUCCUCAACGGACACUACUACACCUAUCCUGGCCUCGUCUUCCAGCAGCAUCCUGAGAUCCAAACUUUCCAGGAGGCUGUGGACUAUUCCGUGGGGAUGAUCCAGACCAAGGAGAGAAAGUUCAUCAAACUGCACGAGAUGCUGACCGACAAAGCCAGGCAAUGCGGCUUCAAGAACAAGUCCGACUUGCUCAAGUAUGUUGAAGCUUUGCCAAACUUCAUCGCUGGAAAUCUUUACUGGCACUACCUUAGCGCCAGAUACUUCGGUGUCAACAACCCCUUCCUCACCGGAGAGCCUGUCCAAGGCACCAUCCUCAUCCAUCCCCGCAACACAGUCGUGCUCCCACCUUACCAGCGAAACAAGCACCCCUUUCUCAUCGAUGUCGACAAUCUGGAGCUCGGUGCGUGAUUACUGGUAAGCGCGGAUCGUUAAGUUACUCACUUCACUAUCUGGUUUGUUGUGCACUUUCUGAACAUAAGAAAUCCGAAUGUAAAUAUCAAGCGAAAAAAUAAAGGAAAAAACCAUGAAUUAUGUGUUCCUCGCGCGAUGAUCUUUUCAAUACUUCCCACAUAUGGACCCUGAGUCAACACAUGUAAACGAAAAGGUCAGGAAGAGAGUCAAAGCUCUACAUGCAAGGUCCUUGGCAGCUGCCGAAACCGAGUUUUGUUUAUCUCAUCAUUGAUGGUUUCCAUUGCAUUAUUGCAGUUUUGUGAUGAAGGACCGCACCUCUCCUGCAACGCUAUCUAGAUCAGUUCGUAGCCGCCCACCUGGAGUUUAAGAGAAAGAUGGUACAAGUCUUAUAAGUUCUUUGAGCUAAUUCAAAACUAUUUGUACCUGGAUGAUCAACACAUAAUUUAUCAGCCUGGCAUUCCUCUGGAAGUUAUCGCGGUUGACGUGGAGGAGAGCCAUUGAGCAGACUGCACCUGGACAGGUAUUCGUGGCCAUCCAACAGAAUCCAGAUUUUUCUUUCACAGACUUGAGCUCGUCGCAGACUGUACAUCUCAGGGUCCUUCAUCUCGCCUAUUCGAACGAUACAGACUCAACAUCUGGAGCUUCAGUACCGCAGUUAGGCAGCAGAGUGCUCAAGUCGGACGGACAGCUGGAUGAAAUGUACUCGAGAUGAUCUAAACUCGAGCUAGAGCCGAAUCAUCAUAGCCACCAGCAAGCAGCUUCACGAGCUUCAUGGAUCAAAUCUGCCAUGGACGGUACGCAUGAACGUCGUCCAGGGAGUUGCUAAUGCACUGAGCUACUUACACGAGGAGGCAGCAAGCACUGGACCCAUAAUUCACCGAGACAUCAAGCCAGCAAACAUCUUCCUGGACCAAAACAUGGAAGCACACCUUGGGGACUUUGGGAUAGCCAGGAAUUUACGACUGGAAAGCAGCAUGCAUUGGGAAAGCAAGCUCAAAGGCUCGAUCGGCUAUGGAUUCUAGAGACGCUUACCAGGAUCCGACCGACGAGCGGCACGCUCAAAGAUAUUUCGCUGCGGAGCUGGGUGGAAUCACACCUGGUCGAAGGCCGGCUGGAAGACGUGCUGGAUCCCGUCCUCCGCCAAGAUUCGACCGCAGAGAGGAGCAUCGACGCCGUGGCCAGGAUCGGGCUCGUGUGUAGCCACCCGAUCGCCGCGGCCCGGCCGCGAAUGGGGCA